CUGGGGAUUUUUUCUUUCCUCUUCCAUUCCGCUCUGUUCCUUUGCAGGAGGUAGUCCAUGCUCACCUCCAUCCUAAACUGAAACUGUAGUGGAUAUUUUGACAUUGUAUAGCAGCUGCUACUAUUGAAGUCGUCUUACAGUCACCAGGCCAGCCUUGGGAGGUACAAGGAUCAUCCAGGGCCUGAUCUGAGUCUGGAGAAUGGGGGCUUCCUGACAAUGAUUUAGAGGCCGGUAUGAGCAGGCUCUCAAGCUGAGAGGGGUUGUUUGGGCAUGAUAGAAGAUCUCCUUGAUUAACUCUCCACAGCUAACACUUAUCCUGGGUGUUUGUCUGCUUUUCAUCAGGCUUUGUACAAGGGAGAGAGGUACGAUCAGUUCACACUCCUGCAGCAGAGGCUUGUUUGCAAUUUUGCAAAGCAACAGCUUCUCUUGUUUCCUUGUCAUUCAACAUAAAGAGAGGACUCAUAAAAUCAUAGAAUCACAGAAUGGUUUUGGUUGGAAGGGACCUUGACGGUCAUCUAGUUCCAGCUCCCCCACCAGAGCACAGAUGCCACCCACCUGGCUGACAGAGCACAAAGUCAUGUCGAAUGCAACUGACAGCAAAAACCAGGAGGGGAUAGGGAAGUCAAACAAUCGCUCCAGAUCUCAGGAGAAAUGGACCAAACAAAUGGACCAUACAAAUAUGUUCUUGUGUGACCUCUCCCAAGAAGAUGGACUUCUGUCCUCCUCCAGUAGCAUGACCACAGUGAGUUCCUCUUCUACUGUGAAGACUGGACCUUUAAUAAGUAGCUGCCACCUCAGCCCUUUCAGAAUCAGGGCUGGAAUUUGUCAAGGAGAUACACAUGUGGGAUCUUGAGGAGAGGGGCAUGGUGGUGUCAAGAAUUACAAAGGCUCUGUAAUCAGCAGAGAAAACCAAACCUUGUUGUAAGUCAUCAUCCAUAGUCCCAGGAGCACUCCAGCACUCAAAGCUAUGUCUCGAAGGAUCUGCCCAGCUCCCAGGAAGGCAAGAUUGGAAAGGACAGAGCCUUAAUGUAUUUAGUCUCUCCUCCUAGAGGGACUGUUCCCUAUCUCCCCCCUGUCUAAUUCCAGGACCUGGCAGUGCUGCUGGGCUCCCAGGUUCAGGUCCUCCCAAUUCCAUCACUUCUCCUCAGCAAGGAAGAGGGGUGACAUCAGCACACACUACUCC
rnacentral:lncRNA from 1 species